rnacentral:rRNA from 1 species
GGACUAAUAUGUCGGUCGUGCCUCGGUACGAACUGGUUUACUGGUCUCUCCUUUCUGAAGAACCAUGAUGUCAUUUAUCUGGUGUCGUGGGGAAUCAGGACUGUUACUUUGGAAAAAAAUUAGAGUGUUUAAAGCAGGCUCACGCUUGAAUACAUUAGCAUGGAAUAAUGAAAUAGGACGUUUGAUUCUAUUUUGUUGGUUUCUAGGAUCGACGUAAUGAUU